rnacentral:tRNA from 1 species
GCCGCGGUAGCUCAGCUGGUAGAGCAACCGCCUUGUAAGCGGUAGGUCGCCAGUUCGAUCCUGGCCCGCGGCA